AGAAAGAAAAAAAAAAGAGAAGGAGAAGAAGAAAAAGAAAAAAGAAGAAGGAAGAGGGAUUCGAGGUAGAAGGAAGCUCCGGUUGCACUGCGAGCUGAAGGAAAAAACGUAGGUCUCCUUCCCCUCUACGCAACGACCCAAGUUUCACAAGAAGAAAAAGGUAAAUACCCAUCCCUACCUGGUAUUCUAAAGAAUUUAUGCUAUAGAAAGGGUAGAUGACAGUUGUAAAGGGUGUUAA
rnacentral:lncRNA from 1 species